rnacentral:rRNA from 1 species
GACGUAGGGGGCGAGCGUUGUCCGGAUUUAUUGGGCGUAAAGGGCUCGUAGGCGGUUUGUCGCGUCGAAUGUGAAAACCCGGGGCUCAACUCCGGGCUUGCAUUCGAUACGGGCAGGCUAGAGUUCGGUAGGGGAGUCUGGAAUUCCUGGUGUAGCGGUGAAAUGCGCAGAUAUCAGGAGGAACACCGGUGGCGAAGGCGGGACUCUGGGCCGAUACUGACGCUGAGGAGCGAAAGCGUGGGGAGCGAACAGG